GCAAUGCCGCGUGCAGGAUGAAGGCCUUCGGGUUGUAAACUGCUUUUGUACGGAACGAAACGGCGAGCUCUAAUACAGUUUGCUAAUGACGGUACCGUAAGAAUAAGCACCGGCUAACUACGUGCCAGCAGCCGCGGUAAUACGUAGGGUGCGAGCGUUAAUCGGAAUUACUGGGCGUAAAGCGUGCGCAGGCGGUGAUGUAAGACAGAUGUGAAAUCCCCGGGCUCAACCUGGGACCUGCAUUUGUGACUGCAUCGCUAGAGUACGGCAGAGGGGGAUGGAAUUCCGCGUGUAGCAGUGAAAUGCGUAGAUAUGCGGAGGAACACCGAUGGCGAAGGCAAUCCCCUGGGCCUGUACUGACGCUCAUGCACGAAAGCGUGGGGAGCAAACAGGAUUAGAUACCCUGGUAGUCCACGCCCUAAACGAUGUCAACUGGUUGUUGGGUCUUCACUGACUCAGUAACGAAGCUA
rnacentral:rRNA from 1 species